CAGUCGCCGCGGUAAUGCGAAGGGUGCAAGCGUUAAUCGGAAUUACUGGGCGUAAAGCGUGCGUAGGCGGUGUGUUAAGUCUGAUGUGAAAUCCCCGGGCUUAACCUGGGAACGGCAGUGGAUACUGUCACGCUAGAGUGUGUUAGAGGAUGGUGGGAUUCCAGGUGUAGCGGUGAAAUGCGUAGAGAUCGGGAGGAAUAUCAGUGGCGAAGGCGGCCAUCUGGAAAAAGACUGACGCUGAGGUGCGAAAGCGUGGGGAGCAAACAGGAUUAGAUACCCGAGUAGUCCCUGUCUCUUAUAC
rnacentral:rRNA from 1 species